GAUGAAGAACGUAGCGAAAUGCGAUACGUAAUGUGAAUUGCAGAAUUCCGUGAAUCAUCGAGUCUUUGAACGCACAUUGCGCCCCCUGGUAUUCCGGGGGGCAUGCCUGUCCGAGCGUCAUUGCUGCCCAUCAAGCACGGCUUGUGUGUUGGGUCGUCGUCCCCUCUCCGGGGGGGACGGGCCCCAAAGGCAGCGGCGGCACCGCGUCCGAUCCUCGAGCGUAUGGGGCUUUGUCACCCGCUCUGUAGGCCCGGCCGGCGCUUGCCGAACGCAAAUCAAUCUUUUCCAGGUUGACCUCGGAUCAGGUAGGGAUACCCGCUGAACUUAAGCAUAUCAAUAAGCGGAGGA
rnacentral:misc_RNA from 1 species